AGGAUAAACGCUGGCGGCGUGCCUAACACAUGCAAGUCGAACGUCUCUUUCUUCGGGAAGAGGAGUGGCGGACGGGUGAGGAACACGUGGGAACCUGCCCUCCAGUGAGGAAUACCGGCGAGAAAUCGCCGACAAGACCGCAUAGGCUCGAUGCAAGUCGAGCAAAGCUCUUUCGAGAGAGGGAGCGCCACACGAGGAGCCUGCGCCCGAUUAGCUAGCUGGUGGAGUAACGGUUCACCAGGGCGACGAUCGGUAGCUGGUCUGAGAGGACGAUCAGCCACACUGGGAUUGAGAACGGCCCAGACUCCUACGGGGGCAGCAGUGAGGAAUUUUCGUCAAUGGGGCAACCCUGAACGAGCAACGCCGCGUGCAGGAGGAAGGUUUUCGGAUCGUAAACUGCUUUUCUCGGGGACGAGCAAGGACGGUACCCGAGGAAGAAGCCCCGGCUAACUACGUGCCAGCAGCCGC
rnacentral:rRNA from 1 species